UUGGGUCAGAAAUGUGCACAGGACCAGGGUAGAAUCGGUACUCAAAGAAUUGAGUCAGCAGUACCCCCGCACCGUCACCCCCAUGCCCUUGCUGAUGCUUGUUUUAAGUGCGUGCGCGCUGUGCCCGCGCCCCAGCGUCAGAUGGAAAUCCAAGCAAGCAACAGGCCAGACCAACUCAGCGGCAGCAGUAGAGAGCAAAAAUAAAUAAAUAAAAAAAAGUUUUACAGCCAGAGAAGCUGAGAAGAAGCGAAGGGGUCACGGGUUUAUCUUGAAAGUUGAAUCCUCCUCUCUUCCCCCCUUCUCUCUCUCUCUCUCUCUCUCUCUGAGACAGACAGACAC
rnacentral:lncRNA from 1 species